UCGCCACUUAUGAUAUAUAUCAAAUAUGUGAAACUUGGAUCAAGGUUUCAUCUAUAUCAUCAUCCAUUUUAAGAAGAGAAAAAUGGGUUAAUUAGUUUUUGAGGGUGGAAGAUUAUUGACUUGGUAUGGUUGAGAAGACGGUUUCAUUUGGAGGUGGAUUUUCUCCAGCUUUUGUUUAUUUUCUGUUGUUAAUGUUGUUGUAGUGAAACCUGAAAAUGGGAAAUUCUCAAAUGGGAGACAUAUUCAAGAGUUUUUUCACCUAAAAUAUGGCGAAUGC
rnacentral:lncRNA from 1 species